UAUAACACUAAUCAAUAGUUUAAUCUAGAUCUUCAUUUUUUUUUUUUCAGAAAGUAAAUUAUUGUAUAUAAAUGUGCAAAUGUACAGGCGGGCCGAAGCCCCAAAAUAUAGCCCAAGCAUCAAUGACCCUAAGUCCAAAAUCUAAGGCAAAGCUCACAAUGAGCAAGAUAACCCUAAAAGUAAACAGAUUCAAUAAUCAGUGCACCAACACACGUGUAAGCCAACUUAAUCCGGUGCGAGAGAGAGAGAAAGCAACAGAGAAGGUCCGAAAACAUCAUCCCGCUGAUCAUCUGAGAAUAGACAUCAAAGUCUAGUGUGCGUCAGGGAAUGAAACAGAUCUGAUCUGAUCUGAGGCCAUACCUUCAAUCAAUCUGGCGGCUCCGGCGGUGGCCGGAUAAAUUCAGGAAGAUCCCAAUCGAGUUGCACUCUUCUAGCCUGCGCAGAAUCUCUAACCUUUCUUGUCAAUAAUGUUAAAACAGGCUAAAAAUGAUUUCUUAAGGCCUUUUUGGAGUCAAACUAAGUCUUAGUGAGAAUCUGGAGCAAAAAGGAGGCUGAUCUGGAGCAAAAAGGAGGCUGAUGCUGAAAAUUGCCAAGUGAGAUCGAUCGAAGAAAAGUGAGAUCGAUCGAACCCAGAUCGAUCGAAGAAAAGUGAGAUCGAUUGAACUGUUCGCGAAAGUUAUUAAAAAGUAGAUCUAAAGCUCAUUUCGCUCAACUCGGGCUGUGCUUGAAAGAGGAGAUCCUAGGGACGAGUUCUCACAUUCUUGGACUCUAAAAGCCUUGUAUAUAUGAGAGAUUGAACUAUUUUUGUGGAGAGAUCCAUAUUUUUACAUUGCAAUUUCUAUAUUGUUGUAGUUUCUCUCUUUGGAAAGUUAGGGAUUAGGGUUUGAAGAAAAGAGGGAAGUGGAGGCACAUCUCAAGAACCCAUCGCUAGAUCCAUUCACUCUUUCUCUCUAGAACUUCAAAGAAGAAGAAGAAAAAGAGGAAGAAGAAGAUGGAGUCAUGUUUGGAGGCUUACCCCUGAGGGUUUCAUGACCACAUUCACCUCCUCCAUGAUUGGCUAGAUCUACACUUAGGGCUUGGAUGAGCCCUAAGUCUUGUGUAAUCUAAACCUUUGUAUUUCUAUUUUUGGGGAUCUAUAUAUAUUGUUGUGAUUAGUGCUA